ensembl:lncRNA
AUGUCCAUGUCCCUUAUGGAGGCGUACCGUUGUUUUAAGGAGGACAAUCCUAACGUGGUAAUCGGCAAAUCCAAGUUUGCUGAACUCCGGCCACCUCAAGUCUGUCUCUGUUCAGAGACUCCAAGGAAUGUGUGUCUGUGUAGGUACCACGAGAACACCUCUCUGCUCCUGGAAUGUGUGCGGUGCCAUGUUCCUCGCAAAGUGUUCAAGAGCUCAACUGAAUUUGUCAGCUCCGUGGUGUGCAGCAAUGAUGACCCACAGUGUAUGCUGAAUACCUGUGAGGAGUGCAGGAAUGCCCAACUGUUCCAGAGCAGUAUUGUGGACCACAUACCAGAUGAGGAGAAACAACUGAAGACCACCUGGUGUGCCUGGGAGACGGUCGGGGGAGUGCAGGCGAAGGUCCAGAAGGCUGGAAUACUAGGAGAUGUACUCCGUCUUCUCACGAGCAGUGCCCCACAAUUUCUGAAGCACUGCUUCAUAAAGCGAAAACAGAGUGCGGUGUUUGAGGAGAAAAAGAGAACAGCCCAAGCAGAUGGAGACUCUGUGGUCCUACAGGUGGACUUUGCAGAAAAUUACACUGCAGCAUAUCAAGAUGAGAUCCAGUUAGCCCACUGGAACCAAAAGCAGGUGACCAUCUUCACCUCUGUUGCCUGGUCUGAUGCGGAUCCUUUGUCAUAUGUGGUGGUAAGUGACAGCCUGGACCAUGAUAAGAAGGCUGUGGCAACAUUCCUGGUAAGGGCUGUUCAAAAUAUCUGCCAGAAACAUCCCCACCUGAGGCAGAUCCACAUUUUUAGUGACGGCGCUGCCUCCCAGUUUAAAAAUAAAUAUCUGUGGGCCUUUUUGUCAUCAAGUUUCCAGGACAUGUUCCCCAACCUCCAAGUUGAGUGGCACUUUUUUGCCACGAGCCAUGGCAAGGGAGCAGUCGACGGUGUGGGGGGCACAGUGAAGCGGGCUGUCAGCACGGCUGUGCUCAGCCGACAGGAAACUGUCCACACUGCUGCCGAUUUUGCCCGAGUCGCUGCACAGAGGUGCCCAAAGGUCACCAUUGAAGAGGUGGCUCCUGAGGAGAUUAAGACCUUCACAGACACACAGGAGCUGGAGGCCAAGUGGAAAGAUGUGCCCACCCUUCAUGGCACACAGGCAGUCCAUCAUGUUGAGGUUGUGUCAUGGGGAGUGAUAAAACACAGGAUGUACUCAACUGCUGAGACAUCAUACCUGCAUGUUCUCUCAUCAACCACCAGAACCUCAGCUCUCUCCUCUACCCAAGGGUCCACUUCUGCCAUUGAAGAGGCCAGACACCCACCGCCCACCACCCAAAUCAUCAAAACAGGGGAUUGUCUACUCAUCAAUUUCAGAACAAACAGAUCAAACAGGCAGUUUGUGGGAUUGGUCACACAAAAAGAUGACACAGGGGCCGAAAUUCAGUUCCUACGAAAAAAUGAGGUGUCUGGUUUGGUCUUCGCGCUCCCUGCAAUAGAGGACAAGUCCUGGAUUAGUUUUGAUCAGAUCGUUAAACAUCUAAGUCCUCACAUGGACAACAGAGGGAGAUACCAUUUCUCCGAACCAGUCCAGGCAGAGUGA